GGGUGUACGGUCGUCGCAUUGCGCUGGCGCUCACCUUAUAGGCGGAGCAGCGCCCGAUUGGGAGAGAAGAGGGGGCUAGGGGUGCGCUAGAGCGGGCGGCGGCGGCGGCGGGGACGGUACCGAAAGAGGCGCGCCUCCUCGGAGCGGUGGUGGGAGAGGUCGGUGAAGUGGGCGGCGGAGGUGGGGAGGGAAAGGGUGGAGCAGGGGAGGAGGGUGGCGCUGUUGUUGGCGCUCCUGAGGAGGAGGAGGAGGAGGCCGGGGGGCAAGGGGUGGGUCGUUCGGGGCGUGAAGGGGAGGCCGCUGGAGGCAGCCGCGAGCUCUAGGGUCCCGGACCGGGAGGGCGAGGGGAAGCCGCGGGUGGAGCGCCGGGUGGCGUCGAAGAGGUGGAGGAGGGGGCCUGGCGUCUAGCUACCCUAGGAGUGGCUGGGGCGCCGGCCGGUCUACCUACAGCGCCGCCCGCAGGAGAGGCUGCGGCGUCGGAACCAGCGCGGGCGGAAGGGCAACGGGAAGGGCCCCCUUCACCGGCGGCGGCGGCGUCUGAGCAAAGGGGGGCAGCGCCGUGACGUCAUGCGGUAGCUGCGGCAGGUAAGCAAGUGGCCCGAGUUGACCACCCGAAGAUAACGCCACUGCUGGUAGAACUAGGCUUGCCACUGGUAGGGCGACGAACACUUGGUCGACUUCAGGUGCUACUUCGACUUACGUUACUCCGGUCUUUAACUCCGCUAGUUGUACCUUUACGCAUUAAGUUACCUAGGUGUUAGCUACGAUCUCCCCUUUUUCUUUAACCCGCUCGAUAAGUGUUUCGUACCACAAUUAGGUAACUGAGGCAAUUUCCCAAAUGAGUAGGUUCCCGGAUAUAAGUACUCGAAAAAGAAGCGAUAUGUUUUGUACCACCUCUUUCAGGGAAGAAACUUUCCCCCACCUCGUAUAACCAAAUGACUAAACUGUUGAGGGCUACUCGAAAUGUAGGAGGGUCACAACUGUAGUCACUGCAAGAACCGAUGCCACCUCGAGUUAUACGUUCUUCCAUACCUCCCUUUAGGAUACGACGUUUGCUACUUCUUAAAGAGAUCUUAUAACCGAGAAUACUGAUAUGGUAAAUGUUACGUGAAAGGGUUCCGUUAAAAGACAAUGACCCAUUGCCGUUUGAACAAGAGAGAACCCAUACCAAAACGAGAGGCCUUCUGUCGGCAUUCCAUAAAGAACUUAGAAGGCCUCCAACAUGGUGUCGGGUUUCGACGCGUUAACAGCUGGAAGUUGGAAAAGCUCCGUGGUUUCGGUCACAGUCGUCAACUAUGUGGGUGACCUUUGUUGCCACUAAGUGGGUGACCUCUGUUGACACUAAGUGGGUGGCGUCGGUUACCCAGUCUCGUCAGAUUACGACUCGAUUCGCUAGCCCAACACAAAGAACUCUUCUUCUAACGUCUUGAACUCUCCGCCCGAUUUCGAUCUCCGCUUAGAGUUCUCAUUAUUUGAUUGUCCAUUCAAAACUAGCUCGUGCACUUAGGAUUUCUUCGUGACAAACAUUGGACACAGACCACCACUUCCCCAUAGACCGUGGCUGAAUGGUUAUAUCAUGGUUCUAAACUGAACCUGAUAGGUUAAAACACUCGUACACAUACGCGCACACCGUUGACAACAAAGCUCGUUUAUUUGGCCUCCCUAGGACCGUCUAUUUUGGCGGUCACAAACAACCUAAUUGGCGUCACUACGACCGGCUCGUCUCUGGUCUCCCAUGAAAAUAAGAACAUAGUGAACGAACUGUAAACUCUUACCUUGCUACAUUAUCAUAAUCGAAAAUCAAACGCUAGUUCUAUUUUGCUCCGACAGCUUUUGUAUACCGCCCUGGCAGCUAAGGACAAUGUAACAAACUACUAUUUCACUGAUUCAUUAUGGGACAAUAAGACUCUGUCUAAGAAGAGAUCGAGCACG
rnacentral:rRNA from 1 species